GACGAACGCUGGCGGCGUGCCUAAUACAUGCAAGUCGAGCGAACAGACGAGGAGCUUGCUCCUUCGACGUUAGCGGCGGACGGGUGAGUAACACGUAGGUAACCUACCUAUAAGACUGGGAUAACUUCGGGAAACCGGAGCUAAUACCGGAUAAUAUUUCGAACCGCAUGGUUCGAUAGUGAAAGAUGGCUUUGCUAUCACUUAUAGAUGGACCUGCGCCGUAUUAGCUAGUUGGUAAGGUAACGGCUUACCAAGGCAACGAUACGUAGCCGACCUGAGAGGGUGAUCGGCCACACUGGAACUGAGACACGGUCCAGACUCCUACGGGAGGCAGCAGUAGGGAAUCUUCCGCAAUGGGCGAAAGCCUGACGGAGCAACGCCGCGUGAGUGAUGAAGGUCUUCGGAUCGUAAAACUCUGUUAUUAGGGAAGAACAAACGUGUAAGUAACUGUGCACGUCUUGACGGUACCUAAUCAGAAAGCCACGGCUAACUACGUG
rnacentral:rRNA from 1 species